UGGACUGGAUGGGAAGAAGAAAAGUAUAGAUUAUAUCCCUGUUUUUCCAGCAAAAUUAUACUCUCACAAAACCUGUAAGAUUCGUCAAUCCAAAGAGCAGGACAUCUAUGCUGAAGCCUAGAGAACGGGGACACCAGAAAGCCAGAAUUCAGAAGAAAGCAACACAGGAGCUGGGAAGAGAAGGAAUUGCUGCUAUGAUGUGCUUGCUGCUAUAGAGAGAGAAACACAAGAGGCAAUUCCUUGCAUAAAAAGAAAAGCAAAGCAGGAAGUAAAGGCAUCUCUGCCUCCCAUAUAUUCACAGAGAGGCUCCAUCCUGGCAGCUGCAGCUUCUGCUCCAGGUCUUUGCCAAGAAAGCUGGGAAGAGCUCUUCUAGGGCUGGAACAGUAAUCUAGGCUGAACGAGGUCUUCCAGAGAAUGCUGCAGUGCAAACAGUAACCCCUCAAGGUGAUGAGCAAAGUGAAUCCUACCCUGCCAGUAGCCUCUGAAGACGGUCUAAAUCUUUUACAUAGUUGUUCAAGGGCAUGCCUUGUACAGAAGUGAAUUUUCUGCAGAAGAACUGACAGGGCUGCAGGCUGCAGUCCAAUAACUGUGUUUUAUGCUUAAAUGAUAAUCAAACAACAUGCAUUGAUCUCCCUGGGAACACAAGAGUACAAAAAGGAAGAGGACUCUCAUGAAAACAGCCUGGCAACCUUCAGCAGAGGAGGGCACAAAAUACUCCUGCAAUGAGGACUUCAGGAGCCAACAUCAUCCAUGUGAUGAACGGCUGCCUAGAAAGGAACUUCUCCAGCAGACUGCUAAAACUGUUGGAGUGGCCAUAGCCAGACCUCAAUGUCUUGCAGAAAUUGUGGAGAUUAUCCUGGACCAUCUUUAUUAGUCAGCAUACCAGGAAUGGUUAGCACCAUAUCCCCCUCUGGUCAUGUUGGCUCUGGGGAUUUCUGGGAUACUAGGUCUUGAUGCCACCAUUAACCCACUGCCAGGGUCUUGGGAAAAAACAAAGUGACUUAUGACAGGAGUUACCAUGGUUAAAUAAA